GACAGAGGUGCCAAGCGUUAGGCGGAAUCACUGGGCUUAAAGCGUGUGUAGGCGGAUCGUUAAGUACCUUGUGAAAUCCCACGGCUCAACCGUGGAACUGCUGGGUAUACUGGCGAUCUUGAGCCACCUAGGGGCGAGCGGAACAAGCGGUGGAGCGGUGAAAUGCGUAGAUAUCGCUUGGAACGCCAAUGGUGAAAACAGCUCGCUGGGAGUGCGCUGACGCUGAGACACGAAAGCCAGGGGAGCGAACGGG
rnacentral:rRNA from 1 species